rnacentral:lncRNA from 1 species
UUUAUAAUUUUUAGUAGUAGUUUAGUAGUAUUUAUUCAAAUUUUUUAUAGGAUGUUCAGAAACACUUUUGAAUUCAUACUCUCAAUAAUUGCUCCAAAUUUGGAAAAAUAUUAUCCAGGAUUAGAAAUGAUUUUUCCAGAGAAACAGUUUCUUAUCUGUAUUUGGAGAAUGGUUACUCCAAAUUCUUAGAGAUCAAUAUGUGAAAAAUUUAAUAUCAACAACUUUAUUAACAACACGACGAGUUACUAAAGCACUUAUAAAUUUGGCAUCAAUAUUUAUCAAAUGGCCAGUAGGAGACAAUGUUCAAGAAAUUUGGGCAAGUUUUGAAGCAAUUAGUGCUUUUCCAAAAGUUAUAGAAAGUUAUAAAAGCUAUAGACGGCAUCAUUCACAUCAAUAUUCCAUCUCCAUGUAUAAAUCCAGAGACUUAUGUUAAUCGAAAAGGCUAUUUUUCCAUUCAGCUGCAAGGAAUUUGUGAUCAUACUUCGUUUUACUCAUUGUUAUAUUGGAUAUGUUGGUUCUGUAUGUGAUCAGCGUGUCUUUCAUCUUUCAGAAAUCCAGGAUGCAUUGGGCAAUCCAGAAAAAUUUCCUGAUGUCACUUAAUUGAUGAUGCAUAUAAGCUUCAUGACAAUUUAAUGAUUUUCUAUCAUGAUAAUGGUCAUUUGAUUGAAUGACAAAAAUUACAAUUACUGCCAAUCUUCAGCGCGAAUUGCCAUUGAAAGAGCGUUUAGUCUUUUGAAAAGAUGAUUUCGAAACUUAUUACACCAUCUCCCUAUAAAUCGAACUGAUUUAAUUGCUCAUUUUAUACUUGCUUGUUAUGUCUUGCAUAACAUUUGUACAUUUAAAGGUGAUUUUGACGUUCUUCCAUUAAAUAAUGAGAUAGACAAUAAUAUUCAUCGACAAGUUGUUAUAGAUAAUGCACAAGCAGGUAUAAUUAAAAGUGAUUUAAUCUGUGAAAGACUUCCAAUGUGAUAUAUGUAAUUUUAAGACGAUUCCAAUUUACUAAAAAUAUAAUAUAUUUGUUAUAUUUGAAGGAAUUAUUUAAUUUUAUUAGAAUUUUUAAUAAUGCGAACAAUGCAAUAAGAAUAGAGAAAGAGUAUGAAUAAAAGAAUACUUUAUUUAU